rnacentral:rRNA from 1 species
GCUUGUUGGUGAGGUAAUGGCUCACCAAGGCGACGACGGGUAGCCGGCCUGAGAGGGUGACCGGCCACACUGGGACUGAGACACGGCCCAGACUCCUACGGGAGGCAGCAGUGGGGAAUAUUGCACAAUGGGCGAAAGCCUGAUGCAGCGACGCCGCGUGAGGGAUGACGGCCUUCGGGUUGUAAACCUCUUUCAGUAGGGAACAAGGCCAGUGUUUAGCUGGUUGAGGGUACUUGCAGAAGAAGCGCCGGCUAACUACGUGCCAGCAGCCGCGGUAAUACGUAGGGCGCAAGCGUUAUCCGGAAUUAUUGGGCGUAAAGAGCUCGUAGGCGGUUUGUCGCGUCUGCCGUGAAAGUCCGGGGCUCAACCCCGGAUCUGCGGUGGGUACGGGCAGACUAGAGUGAUGUAGGGGAGACUGGAAUUCCUGGUGUAGCGGUGAAAUGCGCAGAUAUCAGGAGGAACACCGAUGGCGAAGGCAGGUCUCUGGGCAUUAACUGACGCUGAGGAGCGAAAGCAUGGGGAGCGAACAGGAUUAGAUACCCUGGUAGUCCAUGCCGUAAACGUUGGGCACUAGGUGUGGGGGACAUUCCACGUUUUCCGCGCCGUAGCUAACGCAUUAAGUGCCCCGCCUGGGGAGUACGGCCGCAAGGCUAAAACUCAAAGGAAUUGACGGGGGCCCGCACAAGCGGCGGAGCAUGCGGAUUAAUUCGAUGCAACGCGAAGAACCUUACCAAGGCUUGACAUGAACUGGAAACACUUGGAAACAAGUGCCCCGCUUGCGGUCGGUUUACAGGUGGUGCAUGGUUGUCGUCAGCUCGUGUCGUGAGAUGUUGGGUUAAGUCCCGCAACGAGCGCAACCCUCGUUCUAUGUUGCCAGCACGUAAUGGUGGGGACUCAUAGGAGACUGCCGGGGUCAACUCGGAGGAAGGUGAGGACGACGUCAAAUCAUCAUGCCCCUUAUGUCUUGGGCUUCACGCAUGCUACAAUGGCCGGUACAAUGGGUUGCGAUACUGUGAGGUGGAGCUAAUC